CGUAGCGAAAGUUACGCUAAUACCGCAUACGAUCUACGGAUGAAAGUGGGGGACCUUCGGGCCUCAUGCUUUUGGAGCGGCCGAUAUCUGAUUAGCUAGUUGGUAGGGUAAAGGCCUACCAAGGCGACGAUCAGUAGCUGGUCUGAGAGGACGACCAGCCACACUGGAACUGAGACACGGUCCAGACUCCUACGGGAGGCAGCAGUGGGGAAUUUUGGACAAUGGGCGCAAGCCUGAUCCAGCAAUGCCGCGUGAGUGAAGAAGGCCUUCGGGUUGUAAAGCUCUUUUGUCAGGGAAGAAACGGCUGCGGCUAAUAUCUGCGGCUAAUGACGGUACCUGAAGAAUAAGCACCGGCUAACUACGUGCCAGCAGCCGCGGUAAUACGUAGGGUGCAAGCGUUAAUCGGAAUUACUGGGCGUAAAGCGUGCGCAGGCGGUUUUGUAAGUCUGACGUGAAAGCCCCGGGCUCAACCUGGGAAUUGCGUUGGAGACUGCAAGGCUUGAAUCUGGCAGAGGGGGGUAGAAUUCCACGUGUAGCAGUGAAAUGCGUAGAGAUGUGGAGGAACACCGAUGGCGAAGGCAGCCCCCUGGGUCAAGAUUGACGCUCAUGCACGAAAGCGUGGGGAGCAAACAGGAUUAGAUACCCUGGUAGUCCACGCCCUAAACGAUGUCUACUAGUUGUCGGGUCUUUAAUUGACUUGGUAACGCAGCUAACGCGUGAAGUAGACCGCCUGGGGAGUACGGUCGCAAGAUUAAAACUCAAAGGAAUUGACGGGGACCCGCACAAGCGGUGGAUGAUGUGGAUUAAUUCGAUGCAACGCGAAAAACCUUACCUACUCCUUGACA
rnacentral:rRNA from 1 species